UUCAGAGUUUUCAUUUCCGUUUGUGUUUCAGCUGCCUCGUCGUAGUAGAAACUGCUAGAAACUUGAGAGUUCGUUGAUAAGAGUCGCAAAUGAAUGCAUAAUUUAAAAGAUAGUGGUCUUUCGUAAUUCGUUUAACAUUUUACAGAUAUGUUUUAAUCAAAGUGUUAUUAUAGUAGAACAGUUUUCCUUUCUUCCACUCUUGUAAGCUACAGAAAAAACGUUCCGCUUUAGCAUGUUGUCAGGAGUGACUGGUUACAGGGAAGUAGUUUCUCCUAAAUGUUUAAGUAAAGUCCUCUUUGAAGCUAAGUAUAUGUUGUGAGCUACAGACUAAUUUAAACAUCUUGUUGUUUGCUGUGUGUCGGUUUUAAUUAACGUGUGCCAACGACGGAAAAGUAAGCGGACAACCAGAAGCACCGCCUGGUGUUUCAGUUGGUGCUGAGUUCAACGUUCAGGUCAGAGUGAAGAAAAACACGCUACACCAGUUAACGGUCAAAAUGUCAGAGGCUGGUGGCGACAGUCGCACUAAAACAUUAAAUUUCAACGUUGGAGUGCUCGGACAUGUCGACAGCGGGAAGACGUCGCUGGCCAGGGCGCUGAGCAGCACCGCCUCCACGGCUGCCUUCGACAAGAACCCGCAGUCCCGUGAGAGGGGCAUCACGCUGGACCUCGGCUUCUCCUCCUUCACGGUGGAUCUGCCUGAUCAACUGCGGGACAGCGGGGGGCAGCAGCAGUAUGACAGCCUGCAGUUCACCCUGGUGGACUGCCCGGGACACGCCUCUCUUAUCCGGACUAUCAUUGGGGGUGCCCAAAUUAUUGACCUGAUGAUGCUGGUGGUGGAUGUGGUGAAGGGGGUGCAGACCCAGACUGCAGAGUGUCUGCUGAUAGGAGAGCUGACCUGCCCUUGCAUGGUGGUCGUCCUGAACAAGAUUGACCUCCUGCCACCCAACAAAAGACAGAGUGCCAUUGAGAAGAUGACCAAGAGACUGCACAAAACACUGGAGGGCACCAGAUUUAAAGAUUGUCCAGUGAUUGCUGUGGCAGCAAAGCCUGGGGGCCCGGAGGCUCCUGACACAGAGGAGCCGCAGGGAGUGCCGGAGUUAAUAGAGCUUUUGAAGAAACAGACAUACCUCCCUAAGAGAGACCCCGGAGGUGACCUUCUGAUGGCUGUGGACCACUGCUUCUCCAUCCGCGGUCAGGGAACAGUCAUGACUGGCACCAUCCUGCAGGGGUCGCUGGCCAUCAAUGACACUGUGGAAAUCCCAGCACUAAAGGUGACAAAGAAGAUAAAAUCGGUGCAGAUGUUUCGGAAGCCAGUGUCGGGGGCCAUGCAGGGGGAUCGUGUGGGCGUGUGUGUGACACAGUUUGACCCUAAACUGUUAGAGCGGGGUGUGGUAUGCACCCCAGGGUCCCUGCGCACUCUCUAUGCAGCCAUCAUCUCUGUUAGGAAGAUAGGCUACUUCAAGGGCUCUCUCGCCACUCGUGCCAAGUUCCACAUCACCGUGGGUCAUGAGACAGUCAUGGCAAGGGUGACCUUCUUUGGCCUGCCACCUGCGGGUGUCUCUGAACCCCCCUCUGACACUAAACCACCACCGUCGCUGCCCUGCUCCCUGGACACACCCUUCACCUUUGACAGGGAGUACUUCCACCAGGAUGAGUAUGUCACAGGCCAGGGAGAAACGAGUUCUGGACCUGACCCAGAGCAAUGGGCCCUGUUGGAGUUUGAGCGACCUGUCACAUGUCCAUCACUAAGCCUUGUGAUUGGCUCCAAGCUGGACACAGACAUCCACGCCAAUGCGUGCCGGUUAGCCUUCCAAGGCCGUCUGUUGCAGGGGUUUGAAGAUAAAAGCUAUGCUGAGACUGCCCUGCCUCGUCUGCGCAUCUAUAAGACCAAACACAAGGAGGGACAGGUGGAGAGAGUGAGUGAUGAUUAUACUGUGAUCGGCCGCAACCUGUUCAAGAAAGAGACCAACCUCCAGCUGUUUGUGGGGUUGAAGGUCACGCUGUCGACGGGUGAGAGUGGCGUUAUCGAGGGUGGGUUUGGACAGAGCGGGAAGUUCAAGAUUCGGAUACAAGUUUUCAGGAUGUGGUAAGAGCGGUAGGCCCGACAUCCCAAGCCACAUUCCCAGGAUUCCUCUGGGGAUCGCCUGUGUUCCGGGGGAAGUCUGUUCUCUGUUUAUUUUACCUUCUGUUGCUCCAAACCCAUGGCUCCACACCGGGAGGGGAGAGAAAACAAAAACAUUUAGAAAGAGAACCUCACCUACAUCCUCUUCACUGCCUCACACUUGCAUACUCAAAAGUCUCAGACACACUGACUCACACAUCUUCUGGCAUGAACAUAAUGCAGACAUUCAGUUGUAUUCAUCUGAGACUCCCCGUGGGCAUUAGGACAAAGAUGACACUAUUCCUCUGAUAAGGGCUUGGUCAAAUAAUCGAUACGGCAGUACACCUGUAUAAAGUCUCUUACUGAACUCGAUCAAUAUAUUGGUAUCAGUGUCAUAAUAGGUUUAGGUCUAUCUUUCCUCUACUGCAGAGAUUUAAAGUGAUGUUUUGUGUUGUGGCCUUGUAGCCUUUUACAAGUUGUAUAUUUGAAUGAUUUCACACACAUGAACAUAUUGGUGUGUUUGUAAAAGGUGAGAACUCCUUCAAAUUUGAUCUUAUUUGUAUAUAAAAUUCUGCCAAAGUGAAAGCCCUCUAUAAUGUCGUCAAUGUUUGGGUGGUACAGUGAACCCUCGUUUAUCGCGGGGGUUACGUUCCAAAAAGAACCCGCGAUAGGCGAAAUCCGUGAAGUAGUCAGCUUUAUUUUUUACAAUUAUUAUACAAUACAAUACUGUACUAUAGAAUGAAACCAAAGAUCAAAACCUGUUUUCAGGCCCAAGCAUUUGUUUAAGAAAUAAAAAUAUAAACGUUUUCUUACAAAUAACUAUGAUAGUUUUUAGAAAUUCUGUAAAAUAAUAAUUUUAAUAAUCAAUACGAGGUUGGACACAUUGUGACUCGCGUAUUUCACAGUCCCUCUGACUGUGCCUCUUUGUCCUGACUCCGCUCCGCUGUAGCGUCUGCGAAGGCUGUGGUGCAGGUGUCUUUUUCCGAGAGAAGAACAUAGUUAUGGGUAGUUGUUGGUGCUCUUUUUUUCUUCUGGGCAAGAAGAUUCUUAUAAAAAAAGCAUAAAAAAACUGCACUAAAAAAAUCUGCGAAACAGCGAAGCCGCGAAAGGUGAACCACGUUAUAGCGAGGGUUUUUUCAUAAGGACACAUACAUAAGAUGAAGAAAAUGAAUGAAAGAGUCUGCCUGCUUUUAUGCAGAUUUCAUUGUUAGAUAUUCUCUGCAGCUCAUACCUGCAUUUUUCUUCCCAUAGGUACAACUAAUUAUUAUUUCCAUUAUCAGUUAAUCCACCUAUUACUUUCUCAAUUGUGUGAUUAAUAGUUUGAUCUACAAAAUGUCUGAAAAUAGUGAAAUAUGCCCAUCACAGUACAAAACUCACAGAUAUUAAUCAUGUUGUUUCAUAAGACAAGGAAAAGCAACACAUUUUCACAUUUAAGAAGCUGUAAAGAGAGAAUUUUCACCAUUUUUGCUUGGAAAAUGGCUUAUACAGUUAAUUGACUAUCAAAAUGGUUGUAGACUCUUUUCUGUCAGUCGAUUAUGUGAUUAGUCAAACGUAGGCCUACUACGAUGCAGCCUUACAGAUGCGUAACUCUUUGCCAGUGACACCUCCUGGAGCUUUUUGUGACAGUAACUGAUAUUAAUGUUGUAGGGGAACUCAGCAACAGAUCAGCCUGUUUCUGACCUCAUCAUUAGUAUCUGAUUCACUCACAUUGAAUGUGUUACAGUUUGUCUCUGGUCUCAGGGGACAACAAGAUUAUCAUUCCUACGUGCUCUUAUCUGGUCUAUGCACUGAAAACUCAGUGGUUUAAACCUGGUGUUAUGUUUCACCCCCCAAAAUAAAUGUGCUGCCAGCUUAACUGCUGACCUCAUUUAAUUUGUCCACAGAAGCCAGUUUAUCCACUUUUGGUUCUUGCUGGGUGUUAAUUUUGGACCUUGUCUGAUAAACGCUGCGUGAUGAGUCAGCCACUAGUCAAAAUCCUAAUGCAUCAGAUGCACUUAUCUUGAUGCUUAGACUUCAGCGACAGUCACAUUCCUCUUACAGUAUGUGAAGUAUUUUUAUUAUAUAGUAGAUGAGGUAGAUGUUUUUUAUGUUUUUGCAGUCAUAUACCUAGAAAUGUAUUUGAAGACAAACAUUUAAAAGUGCAAUUUCUUUGUGUCACUUGUAUGUGAACACAAAACAUUUAAGUUUUGGUAUAUGAGCAUGUUCUUUGGUGGUAAACGGACAUUUUCAGCUGAUCAUAGAUAACAAGAAGAGAUUUCUGGCUGGGCUGCAACCAUAACAACCCUCACACUGGCAUAACGAUAACAAGAAGAAUGCUGGCGCCGCUGUACGUGAGGUCAGACAGCCAGCGUGUAAAGCAGCGAACCCAGAACAUUUCCUACCUUCCGUGUGUGAAACGGCAAACAAGCAGCCAGUUUCUCUCCUCAAAAACAUGCAUACACAGAAAGACAAGCGAGGCAGAUAUGGUGGCAUAGAAGGAAUUUGUAGUCCUCGCAUGAGGAGUGUUGAACGGCGACUCAGCAUUCCCAGGAAACAGCUCAGUGCGGCUGAGAACGAGGCCAGAGUGCAGGAGGAGCAAUGAGUGUGUCUAAGCAGAUAGAGGAGACACGAUAUUGGGGUGCACGUGUCAGGAUGAAGCAGAUGAGCCUAAGGCAGAGGCUCGAGGAGCGACUGAGGCAUUUUCAUCAGUUACAUCAGGAGGAUGAAGACAUCAGUUGAUCUUGAGGUCAGCACACUGAACAGGCUCCAGCACUGAUAGAGCACCUACUGUACACGUAACAGGGAAGAAAAGAUCUCUGAUGCAUCAGAUAUACCUACACUGAGAGGGUCUCUUCCCAGACACUAAGCAGUUGUUAUCCUCAACCUCUAAGAAGAAA